CCUCCUCGCUUCCUCAGGGGCCGCAGCGGGUUCCGACUGCGCCACUCGCACCCCGCCUGGGCCGCGCUGCACGUCAGCACGGCUAAUGAUUGGAGAAGGUGGCAGCAGUCGUCAGGCACAGAGGAGUGCAGAGCAGAGCUGCAAGAGGAUGAGGAGCAUGCGCUGUCCACAGCAAGUGAAACCAAGUAGAGAUGAAGGGAAAGAGAGAAACAUCAAUCAGUUGCCUACCAUAUGCACCCUGACUGGGGAUGGUAUGCUCCUGGACCAGGGAUGGAACCCACAACCCAAGUGCAUACCCACGGCUGCUUAUUCUCUAGGGACAGGCCAGGCUUCUCUGCCUUCAACCUCAGUUUGUAUCCUUGUGGCAGCGCCCCCCAGUGGAAACAUUCCUCCUCUGGAACCGAGGCAGCCUGUGACCAGCAGAGCCUGUGAAGCUGAGUGAGUACUGGAGGCCCCAGAGGCAAGGAGAGAGGAAGAGAGGGAGAAAGAAGGAGAGAGAAACAUCGAUGUUCGAGAAAUGUAUCAAUUGGUUGCCUCUAACACGCCCCCAACUAGGGACCCGACCUGCAACCCAAGCGUGUGCCCAGACUGGGAAUCAAACCAGCAACAUUUUGUUUCGCAGCUGGCGCUCAGUCCAGUGAGCCACACAGCAGCCAGGGCUCAAUUUCCUUUUUAUCCAAUCCCAGAGGUUUCCCUGCUGUUUGCUUUGUCCUACCUUCCUUACCAAUCACCACUGGAUUUCAUGUAACCCACUUAUGUUUUCUCUUUUGGUUGUAAUGUAUAAAAUAAGGUGCAGAACUGCCAUUCUCUGGAACAUAUUCUCAAUCUGUUGAGAUUUUGCCUCCUGGCAUUGUCAUCAGUUUGGCUCAAGUAAACUCAUAAAAAUUCUCUACAGGUUUGAAUAUUUCUUAGUUUGACAACAAGAAGCAACCAAUGAAUGCAUAAGUAAGUUGAGCAACAUAUGUUUUUCUCUUUGUCGAAUCAGUUUUUUUUUAAAGAUUUUAUUUAUUUAUCUUUAGAGGGGAAAGGAAGGAUAGAGGGAGAGAAACAUUAAUGUAUGGUUGCCUUUUGUGU